UUAUACAUAUUUAUAAAAUAUGUUAAAUAUAAGCAUUAAAUAAAUAAUGGCAUCUUUAUCCAACAUCUCACUGUAAUUCCAUGUUACUUUAGAAUUAAUAAAAAUAAGUAUUUAUUCCGAAUUAAAAUUAAAAUUAGACUCAUAUAGACCCGUGCCGUAUACUCUUGCGCAAAAUGUUAUACAGAGCGAAUCUAAGAAGUCAUAUUUUAUCAGAUUGUGCUUUUGUUGUGUGUAUUAAUUCUAUAAUCUUUCAUUUCACAAAAUACAUAAAACAAAAAUUCAAAUAAACACAACAAUUUUCACACUGACAAUUAACCCCGGUCAAAUAGCAUUACUAAGAUCCACUCCCCAAAAACCUUCGAGAUAUCAGAUAAGGAGUGCCUCUCGCUUAGUUGGUCAGUUUCAGUGUCAGGAUAACCUUGUUAUGCAAUUUUCUUGCUGGGCAGAGUAUAGCUGCAGCUUAUCUAGUUCAAAAUUUGAAUUCAACUGAUGGACAAGAAGUGCGCGCUGUUCAUAUUGAAUGUGUUUUCAAGAUACAUACACAAGGAUUAAGGCUGGAAUAUCAACUUCUGCUCAUUCAUCGUAUGGUUCAAUCAACCAGUGGUGAGGGAAUUGAUUGUAUAUAGUCAGCCUUGAUUGCAUCAGAUUCUUCGCCCGUGAAAAUUAUACAAAGGAAUGCAACAUUUUGCUGUUGCUCUAGAGGAUGGAUUCUC